rnacentral:rRNA from 1 species
UCGACGCGACUAAUCGAUUAGCAAUAAUUGGUUAAGUUGAGUGGCGAAAGGGUGCGUAACACGUGGGAAUCUACCGAAAAGUGUGGGAUAGCUCGCCGAAAGGCGAAUUAAUACCGCAUGUGAUAGUAAUAUUAAAGCAGGGGAUCGUAAGACCUUGCGCUUUUUGAGGAGCCCGCGGCCUAUCAGUUAGUUGGCGAGGUAAAAGCUCACCAAGACUAAGACGGGUAGCUGGUCUGAGAGGACGACCAGCCACACUGGAACUGAGACACGGUCCAGACACCUACGGGUGGCAGCAGUCGAGAAUUUUUCACAAUGGGGGAAACCCUGAUGGAGCGACGCCGCGUGGAGGAUGAAGGUUUUCGGAUUGUAAACUCCUGUCACUUCAGAACAAGACUACGUAUUCUAAUAAAUUAUGUAGUUGAUGGUAUGAGGAGAGGAAGGGACGGCUAACUCUGUGCCAGCAGCCGCGGUAAUACAGAGGUCCCGAGCGUUGUUCGGAUUCAUUGGGCGUAAAGGGUGUGUAGGAGGUCAAAUAAGUCAGGCGUGAAAUCUCACCGCUUAACGGUGAAAUUGCGCUUGAUACUGUUUGGCUAGAGGAUUUGAGGGGGUAACGGAAUUCUUGGUGUAGCAGUGAAAUGCGUAGAUAUCAAGAGGAACACCAGUGGCGAAGGCGGUUACCUGGAAAAUUCCUGACUCUGAAACACGAAAGCU